UACGGAGGGGGCGAGCGAUGUUCGGAAUUACUGGGCGUAAAGGGCGCGUAGGCGGCGCGUCAAGUCCGGCGUGAAAGUCCUGGGCUCAACCCGGGGACGGCGCUGGAGACUGACGGGCUCGAGUCUGGGAGAGGAUGGCGGAAUUCCCAGUGUAGAGGCGAAAUUCGUAGAUAUUGGGAAGAACACCGGUGGCGAAGGCGGCCAUCUGGACCGGCACUGACGCUGAGGCGCGAAAGCGUGGGGAGCAAACAGG
rnacentral:misc_RNA from 1 species